CACUUGAGCCCAGGAGUCUGAGACCAGCCUGGCCAACAUGGCAAAACCCUGUCGCUACAAAAAAUACAAGAAUUAGCCAUGUGCACCUGUGGUCCCAGGUGCCUCCUCUGCUCCUUUGGGAAAGCCCCACCUGUCUUGAGGUCCCCCACACCUGUGCUUCCCAGCACCUCGGAGACCCCAGAACCACUGAACAAAGAACACUGGGGUCCUGGGCUGCCACAUGGAGGACCCCAGGGUGGCAGGCUCACAACAGCACAGGUGUCCUCCUACAGCUCCCAGGGCCGGGAGCCUGAAACCAAGGUGUCCACAGGGCCCUGCUGCCCCCAGAGGCUCUGGGCAGAGCCCUUCCGCCUUUCCAGCUCCCCCUGGUUCCCGUGCUCCUCGGCCUGUGGCCCCAUCACUCUGGCCUCUGCCUUCAUCUCAUGCCGAGAUCCCUGAAGCGGGCCCAGCUCCGUUCACUG
rnacentral:lncRNA from 1 species